GAUGAACGCUGGCGGCAGGCUUAACACAUACAAGUCGAGGGGUAUAGUUCUUCGGAGCUAGAGACCGGCGCACGGGUGCGUAACGCGUAUGCAAUCUACCUUUUGCAGAGGGAUAGCCCAGAGAAAUUUGGAUUAAUACCUCAUAGUAUGUGAGAAUGGCAUCAUUUUCACAUUAAAGUCACAAUGGCAAAAGAUGAGCAUGCGUCCCAUUAGCUUGUUGGUAAGGUAACGGCUUACCAAGGCAACGAUGGGUAGGGGUCCUGAGAGGGAGAUCGCCCACACUGGUACUUAGACACGGACCAGACUCCUACGGGAGGUAGCAGUGAGGAAUAUUGGACAAUGGGCGCAAGCCUUAUCCAGCCAUGCCGCGUGCAGGAUGACGGUCCUAUGGAUUGUAAACUGCUUUUGUACAGGAAGAAACACUGGUUCGUGAACCAGCUUGACGGUACUGUAAGAAUAAGGAUCGGCUAACUCCGUGCCAGCCGCCGCAGUAAUAC
rnacentral:rRNA from 1 species